GGCCUCCUCCGACGUCGACCGCAAGACGGCCUCCGCGCCGCUAUCUCAUCUUCCCGUUCUCUCCCCACCCCGAGCGAUCCAUCCAUUCCCCCUCCCCUCAAGCGAUUCCCCGGUUCCCCUUCGCAAUCCGCACUCAACUCCCUUCCAAGAUCCGAUUCCCCAACCACUGCUCAGUCGCCUAAACCCUAGCGCCGCCAUGGAUUCGGCUACGCUCUCGCCCACCACCACCAGCACGCAGCAGCUCGCCGCCGCGCUAGAUCUGGGACUGGGAGGAUGAGGGGUGGGUGGGUGUGGCUGCUUCUGCGGUCAUCGACGCCGCCCCCGCCUCCUCCUGCUCCUUGUUAUUCUCCUCCCUAGCAUCCACGAUCACGCUGCCUCCAGCCCUCUACUGGUACAUCCACGCUACCUCCAGCCCUCCAGCCAUCUAACCCGGGUCCUGCACAUAGCUCCCCUGAGGAACGCCGCCAUCAUCCCUUCUGACCACAUCAACCUCCACCUGGGAUUCUAGAUUUCAAGGAAGCAGAAGUACGAGGUUGUCUUGCCCCUCUCUCCUUCCUCUUCCCCUCCCCUCCCCUAACGCUUCUUCUUCUUGUGUGCAUUUUUUUGCAGAUGG
rnacentral:lncRNA from 1 species